rnacentral:rRNA from 1 species
UCGACGCUCCGCAAGGAGAGUGGCAGACGGGUGAGUAACGCGUGGGAAUCUACCUAGUUCUACGGAACAACACAGGGAAACUUGUGCUAAUACCGUAUACGCCCUACGGGGGAAAGAUUUAUCGGAAUUAGAUGAGCCCGCGUAAGAUUAGCUAGUUGGUGGGGUAAUGGCCUACCAAGGCGACGAUCUUUAGCUGGUCUGAGAGGAUGAUCAGCCACACUGGGACUGAGACACGGCCCAGACUCCUACGGGAGGCAGCAGUGGGGAAUAUUGGACAAUGGGCGCAAGCCUGAUCCAGCCAUGCCGCGUGAGUGAUGAAGGCCUUAGGGUUGUAAAGCUCUUUCAGUGGGGAAGAUAAUGACGGUACCCACAGAAGAAGCCCCGGCUAACUUCGUGCCAGCAGCCGCGGUAAUACGAAGGGGGCUAGCGUUGUUCGGAUUUACUGGGCGUAAAGCGCACGUAGGCGGAUUGGUCAGUUAGGGGUGAAAUCCCAGAGCUCAACUCUGGAACUGCCUUUAAUACUGCCAGUCUAGAGUCCGGAAGAGGUAAGUGGAACUCCUAGUGUAGAGGUGGAAUUCGUAGAUAUUAGGAAGAACACCAGUGGCGAAUGCGGCUUACUGCUCCGGUACUGACGCUGAGGUGCGAAAGCG